AGCGUACACGGUGGAUGCCCUGGCAGUCAGAGGCGAUGAAGGACGUGCUAAUCUGCGAAAAGCGUCGGUAAGGUGAUAUGAACCGUUAUAACCGGCGAUGUCCGAAUGGGGAAACCCAGUGCAAUUCGUUGCACUAUCGUUAACUGAAUACAUAGGUUAACGAGGCGAACCGGGGGAACUGAAACAUCUAAGUACCCCGAGGAAAAGAAAUCAACCGAGAUUCCCCCAGUAGCGGCGAGCGAACGGGGAGCAGCCCAGAGUCUGAAUCAGCUUGUGUGUUAGUGGAACGGUCUGGAAAGUCCGACGGUACAGGGUGAUAGUCCCGUACACCAAAAUGCACAGGCUGUGAACUCGAAGAGUAGGGCGGGACACGUGGUAUCCUGUCUGAAUAUGGGGGGACCAUCCUCCAAGGCUAAAUACUCCUGACUGACCGAUAGUGAACCAGUACCGUGAGGGAAAGGCGAAAAGAACCCCGGCGAGGGGAGUGAAAAAGAACCUGAAACCGUGUACGUACAAGCAGUGGGAGCACCUUUAUGGUGUGACUGCGUACCUUUUGUAUAAUGGGUCAGCGACUUAUAUUCUGUAGCAAGGUUAACCGUAUAGGGGAGCCGCAGGGAAACCGAGUCUUAACUGGGCGUUAAGUUGCAGGGUAUAGACCCGAAACCCGGUGAUCUAGCCAUGGGCAGGUUGAAGGUUGGGUAACACUAACUGGAGGACCGAACCGACUAAUGUUGAAAAAUUAGCGGAUGACUUGUGGCUGGGGGUGAAAGGCCAAUCAAACCGGGAGAUAGCUGGUUCUCCCCGAAAGCUAUUUAGGUAGCGCCUCGUGAACUCAUCUUCGGGGGUAGAGCACUGUUUCGGCUAGGGGGUCAUCCCGACUUACCAACCCGAUGCAAACUACGAAUACCGAAGAAUGUUAUCACGGGAGACACACGGCGGGUGCUAACGUCCGUCGUGAAGAGGGAAACAACCCAGACCGCCAGCUAAGGUCCCAAAGUCAUGGUUAAGUGGGAAACGAUGUGGGAAGGCACAGACAGCCAGGAUGUUGGCUUAGAAGCAGCCAUCAUUUAAAGAAAGCGUAAUAGCUCACUGGUCGAGUCGGCCUGCGCGGAAGAUGUAACGGGGCUAAACCAUGCACCGAAGCUGCGGCAGCGACACUAUGUGUUGUUGGGUAGGGGAGCGUUCUGUAAGCCUGCGAAGGUGGCCUGUGAGGGUUGCUGGAGGUAUCAGAAGUGCGAAUGCUGACAUAAGUAACGAUAAAGCGGGUGAAAAGCCCGCUCGCCGGAAGACCAAGGGUUCCUGUCCAACGUUAAUCGGGGCAGGGUGAGUCGACCCCUAAGGCGAGGCCGAAAGGCGUAGUCGAUGGGAAACAGGUUAAUAUUCCUGUACUUGGUGUUACUGCGAAGGGGGGACGGAGAAGGCUAUGUUAGCCGGGCGACGGUUGUCCCGGUUUAAGCAUGUAGGCUGGUUAUCCAGGCAAAUCCGGAUAAUCAAGGCUGAGGUGUGAUGACGAGGCACUACGGUGCUGAAGUAACAAAUGCCCUGCUUCCAGGAAAAGCCUCUAAGCAUCAGGUAACAUCAAAUCGUACCCCAAACCGACACAGGUGGUCAGGUAGAGAAUACCAAGGCGCUUGAGAGAACUCGGGUGAAGGAACUAGGCAAAAUGGUGCCGUAACUUCGGGAGAAGGCACGCUGGUGUGUAGGUGAAGUCCCUGCGGAUGGAGCUGAGACCAGUCGAAGAUACCAGCUGGCUGCAACUGUUUAUUAAAAACACAGCACUGUGCAAACACGAAAGUGGACGUAUACGGUGUGACGCCUGCCCGGUGCCGGAAGGUUAAUUGAUGGGGUUAUCCGUAAGGAGAAGCUCUUGAUCGAAGCCCCGGUAAACGGCGGCCGUAACUAUAACGGUCCUAAGGUAGCGAAAUUCCUUGUCGGGUAAGUUCCGACCUGCACGAAUGGCGUAAUGAUGGCCAGGCUGUCUCCACCCGAGACUCAGUGAAAUUGAACUCGCUGUGAAGAUGCAGUGUACCCGCGGCAAGACGGAAAGACCCCGUGAACCUUUACUAUAGCUUGACACUGAACAUUGAGCCUUGAUGUGUAGGAUAGGUGGGAGGCUUUGAAGCGUGGACGCCAGUCUGCGUGGAGCCAACCUUGAAAUACCACCCUUUAAUGUUUGAUGUUCUAACGUUGGCCCCUUAUCGGGGUUGCGGACAGUGUCUGGUGGGUAGUUUGACUGGGGCGGUCUCCUCCCAAAGCGUAACGGAGGAGCACGAAGGUUAGCUAAUCCUGGUCGGACAUCAGGAGGUUAGUGCAAUGGCAUAAGCUAGCUUGACUGCGAGCGUGACGGCGCGAGCAGGUGCGAAAGCAGGUCAUAGUGAUCCGGUGGUUCUGAAUGGAAGGGCCAUCGCUCAACGGAUAAAAGGUACUCCGGGGAUAACAGGCUGAUACCGCCCAAGAGUUCAUAUCGACGGCGGUGUUUGGCACCUCGAUGUCGGCUCAUCACAUCCUGGGGCUGAAGUAGGUCCCAAGGGUAUGGCUGUUCGCCAUUUAAAGUGGUACGCGAGCUGGGUUUAGAACGUCGUGAGACAGUUCGGUCCCUAUCUGCCGUGGGCGCUGGAGAAUUGAGGGGGGCUGCUCCUAGUACGAGAGGACCGGAGUGGACGCAUCACUGGUGUUCGGGUUGUCAUGCCAAUGGCACUGCCCGGUAGCUAAAUGCGGAAGAGAUAAGUGCUGAAAGCAUCUAAGCACGAAACUUGCCCCGAGAUGAGUUCU
rnacentral:rRNA from 1 species